rnacentral:snRNA from 1 species
GGAUGUGAGGGCGAUCUGGCUGAGACGUCUGUCACCCCAUUGAUCACCAGGGUUGAUUCGGCUGAUCUGGCUGGCUAGGCGGUAUCCCCUUCCUCCCUCACCGCCCCAUGUGAGUCCCUCCCGAAGCUGAGCACUGGGUCAAAGAGGGCGACCGCCCCCCGACAGAGGAGGACCGUUUCCUCGGUCAAGGGUAUACAAGCAGCUGCGCUCCCCUGCUAGAACCUCCAAACAAGCUCUCAAGGACAGGCAAGUAACAUUAAGUGGCUUCGGAACUUAGAAAUAUGAGCGGGAAAUGAACAUUAGCAUGGUGACUUGAAAGCUAAUAUAUUU